GACGAACGCUGGCGGCGUGCUUAACACAUGCAAGUCGAGCGGUAAGGCCCUUCGGGUACACGAGCGGCGAACGGGUGAGUAACACGUGGGUGACCUGCCUCUAGCUCUGGGAUAAGCCUGGGAAACUGGGUCUAAUACCGGAUAUGACUCCACGGCGCAUGUUGUGGGGUGGAAAGCCUUGUGCGGCUAGAGAUGGGCCCGCGGCCUAUCAGCUUGUUGGUGGGGUGAUGGCCUACCAAGGCGACGACGGGUAGCCGGCCUGAGAGGGCGACCGGCCACACUGGGACUGAGACACGGCCCAGACUCCUACGGGAGGCAGCAGUGGGGAAUCUUGCGCAAUGGGCGAAAGCCUGACGCAGCGACGCCGCGUGAGGGAUGACGGCCU
rnacentral:rRNA from 1 species